rnacentral:lncRNA from 1 species
CAGAGUCUGGUCCUCACAUUUUAGAUUCAGCUUUGGGAAUUUUGUUCAGGAACUGCAUCAUACAACCCAAAAGCAAAAGAGGAAAAUGCAUAAGCCAGGAUACCUAAAUGUUCAUUUAUUUAAACUUGAAAAUGUGACUGCAAAAGGAGUCAAGAAGUUUAGUACUCAACACAUUUCUUCUUUGUAGAAAUAACUGCUCAAGAAGAUAAAUUGUUACCUAACAGUUGAUUGAUGAAUAUGAAAUCAGAGCAAGAGGGGCUAAUUAGAGAUUUUACUAGCUAGGGCUAUUUACCCAAACCAUCUAUCCAGACUGUAGACAUAGAAUCACCAGAUGGCUAGGAUCCUGGUGCAGCUGGUUCCCCUUUUUCCUUACCCUGAAUGUCAUUAAGGAUGCAUUGCCAAAUGCUGCCCCUCUGGCCUGAUGACUACACUCCAUAUUGGUCACCUGCCUUCUUUUUCCUACAGUCUUCCUCCAGACAGGCACGCCAUACAACCGACUACACUUGGGCUCACUGAAUGAAUCACAUUCUUCUGCUGUGCCUCCCAGAGAUUUCAUCAAAGCACCCGCAGUGGCCUUCUGGAGGCUCCUCAAACUCUCCACUCAAUGUUUCCUGAAAGUGUCGUGUUUCUCACCUCUAGAUUGUUAUUCUCAUCAGUUACAUGUGGGUUUCACAAAUUUAUUUCUCAGAAUGCAAGUCUGUCUCUUAUAUCCUCGGGAAACACACCUUUAUAUCCCAGUUAGUACUGACAAAAAUUAAACUAGGGACUGGCCAAAAACAGUGCCUUUCCUCACUUUAAUCUCACUAAAGUAGAUAAGACUCAAGUUAUUUUGUUCUUGCAAUGGCAUUGACAAAUGUUUGCACCAAAAACCAUGUUGAAGUUCAUUAAGGAAACUGUGAUCCAAGAUCCAAGGUCAAAAAAACAAAUUCAUCAAUUCAGCACACCACCAACUCACAGGCUAAGCAUCUUACUGCUAAUUCAUUGAUGCUGCCAUUUGUCAAGUGCCAAAUUGAAUUAUUGAUUUGUCAAUAAUUUCCUUCCGUUGGUUACUUAUAUAGUAUAUUGCAAUUCUUGUUGCUGAAGUCAGCUACACUUUUUCUAUUUGAAAAACAAUUUCUUGCAUUUGGGAUUUCAGGUAUAGUGAUUGUUACAAAUAUGAAGGACUUGAAUUAACAGCAAGUUUUCAAGUAAAACUUUACUUAUGUAUAACUGAAUGAGUUCUUAAAGACAUUUACUAACAAUUUUCCACAAACUAAAAAUUUAUAAAACAAUAAAUAAAAUAGACUUUAAAAAAAAGCGUGUCACACAGCUGCUUGUUUUUUGUUUGUUUCUUUGUUUGUUUUUUAGUAGUGAAAUGGUGAAAAAUCAGACAAUGGUCACAGAGUUCCUCCUACUGGGAUUUCUCCUGGGCCCAAGGAUUCAGAUGCUCCUCUUUGGGCUCUUCUCCCUGUUCUAUGUCUUCACCCUGCUGGGGAAUGGGACCAUCCUGGGGCUCAUCUCACUGGACUCCAGACUCCACACCCCCAUGUACUUCUUCCUCUCACACCUGGCCGUCGUCAACAUCGCCUAUGCCUGCAACACAGUGCCCCAGAUGCUGGUGAACCUCCUGCAUCCAGCCAAGCCCAUCUCCUUUGCUGGCUGCAUGACAUAGACCUUUCUCUUUUUGAGUUUUGCACAUACUGAAUGCCUCCUGUUGGUGCUGAUGUCCUACGAUCGGUACGUGGCCAUCUGCCACCCUCUCCGAUAUUUCAUCAUCAUGACCUGGAAAGUCUGCAUCACUCUGGCCAUCACUUCCUGGACAUGUGGCUCCCUCCUGGCUAUGGUCCAUGUGAGCCUCAUCCUAAGACUGCCCUUUUGUGGGCCUCGUGAAAUCAACCACUUCUUCUGUGAAAUCCUGUCUGUCCUCAGGCUGGCCUGUGCUGAUACCUGGCUCAACCAGGUGGUCAUCUUUGCAGCCUGCAUGUUCAUCCUGGUGGGACCACUCUGCCUGGUGCUGGUCUCCUACUCACACAUCCUGGCGGCCAUCCUGAGGAUCCAGUCUGGGGAGGGCCGCAGAAAGGCCUUCUCCACCUGCUCCUCCCACCUCUGCGUAGUGGGACUCUUCUUUGGCAGCGCCAUCGUCAUGUACAUGGCCCCUAAGUCCCGCCAUCCUGAGGAGCAGCAGAAGGUCCUUUUUCUAUUUUACAGUUCUUUCAACCCGAUGCUAAACCCCCUGAUUUACAACCUGAGGAAUGUAGAGGUCAAGGGUGCCCUGAGGAGAGCACUGUGCAAGGAAAGUCAUUCCUAAGAGGUGUGACAUUUGAACUGCCAGCCUCAGUUGUCACGUGGACUCUUGAUGCCCAAUUAUUGCCUCAAUCCAGAAAAGUUUACUUCUCUUUAUCUGUGCUUUACUGACAGAAGGGCAAGUCUUCUCUCGUUUUUUGCAGAUAAAAUUUUAGAUGUGUUGCAUUCAUUGGGUUUCUAUGAGAUGUGGUUUUAUCAGACAAUUUUUUCUUUUAUUUCACAAUUACUUUAAUAUCUGUAAAAUAAAGAAUUAUUUUAAUUCAUUUUCCCAGUCCCAAAAGUUAAAUACAGGCCACUUACUUCUUUAACCAAAUGAUAUAGUUUGGCUCUGUGUCCCCACCCAAAUCUCAUGUCAAAUUGUAAUCCCCGCAUGUCAGGGGAGGGACCUGGUGGGAGGUGAUUGGAUCAUGGGGAGGGAUUUCCCCCUUGCUGUUCUGUUGAUAGUGAACGAGUUCUCACGAAAUCUGAUGGUUUAAAAGUGCAGCACUUCUCCCUUUGCUCUCUCUCUCCUGCUGUGCCAUGGUAAGACGUGCCUUGCUUCCCCUGUGGCUUCCGCCAUGAUUGUACCUUUCCUGAGGCCUCUCCAGCCAUGUGGAACUGUGAGCCAAUUAAACUUCUUUUCUUUAGAAA